GAUGAACGCUGGCGGCGUGCCUAAUACAUGCAAGUCGAGCGAACAGAUAAGGAGCUUGCUCCUUUGACGUUAGCGGCGGACGGGUGAGUAACGCGUGCAUCACCUACCUCUAAGACUUGGAUAACUUCGGGAAACCGGAGCUAAUACCGGCUAACAUAUUGAACCGCAUGGUGCAAUAGUUCAUGGCGGCUUUGCUGUCACUUAUAGAUGGAUCCGCGCCGUAUUAGUUAGUUGGUAAGGUAACGGCUCACCAAGGCGACGAUACGUAGCCGAGCUGAGAGGAUGAUCGGCCACACUGGAACUGAGACACGGUCCAGACUCCUACGGGAGGCAGCAGUAGGGAAUAUUCCACAAUGGGCGAAAGCCUGAUGGAGCAACACCGCGUGAGUGAUGAAGGUCUUCGGAUUGUAAAACUCUUUUAUCGGGGAAGAAAAAAUGUGGAAGUAACUGUGCACAUCCUGACGGUACCCGAUCAGAAAGCAACGGCUAACUACGUG
rnacentral:rRNA from 1 species